rnacentral:misc_RNA from 1 species
GGCUUUGUGAUAGAUGUUUGAUCACGCCCAACCGUAUUUGAUCCCAAGACCCUCAUAAUAUUCAAAGAAUGAUUCCUUAUUACUUACAUUUAUAUAUUAAAAUUUUCAGCAAUUGUAUUAUUAAAUAUUAAAGUAGUUAUUUACGAAAUGUUACAAAAUCGAUUCAUGGUGUUAUAACAGACAAAGACACUAGAUAAUGUAAAUAUAUAUUUGAUGCUAAAAUUCUAAAGUCUGUCAACCUGAAUUUUACCAUAGAGCUACAGACCUGCAGCUUGCAUUCUCUUUUGAGAAGUCAAUAGGCAUAGCGCACAGCCUAGGGUGUAGGCUAUGCCUGUCCACUUAUCAAAAGAGAAUACUGCAGCUUGGCUUUCUUGUACAUAUACAUAUGGCUUCAAAAACUGUUUUUGCCUUUAAUAUAGGUUUUAAAAAAAGAGGGAAACAGCAACUGAUAUAUAUAUUGAAAUGAUCUGAUAUUUGGUACAAGUGCAUGUAAAUUAUUAAUCUUCUUAUAUGUACAUAUAUUUCUAUAUUUAUCAGCAUAUAGCCUAUAUAUUUUUGGCGUCACAGUAAAGGUUUUGAAAUCAUCAUGACUUUUCCUUAUAGAUAUUAAAAUGCAUGCGCACAGAUCAGCAAAUUUUAUUGUCAAUAUGCAAAGACCAGCAAUUUUUAUGUCAAAAUGCACAAAUCAGCCAUUUUUAUAUAAAUAUUUUAAAAC